AGUGAACGCUGGCGGCGUGCCUAAUACAUGCAAGUCGAACGGAGUGGCGCACGGGUGAGUAAUAUAUAGCUAAUCUGCUCCUUGCUGGAGGACAACAGUUAGAAAUGACUGCUAAUACGCCAUAGCAAGGGUUGAGACUAGAUCGUAUCAGCUAGUCGGUGGGGUAACGGCCUACCGAGGCUAUGACGCGUAACUGGUCUGAGAGGAUGAUCAGUCACAUUGGAACUGAGGCACCGUGCAAACUCCUACUGGAGGCAGCAGUAGGGAAUAUUGCGCAAUGGGGGAAAGCCUGACGCAGCAACGCCGGGUAGAGGAUGACACGUUGCGGAGCGUAAACUCCGUUUGUUAGGGAAGCGGUACCUAACGAAUAAGCACCGGCUAACUCCGUGCCAGCAGCCGCGGUAAUUC
rnacentral:rRNA from 1 species